AGUGAACGCUGGCGGUAGGCCUAACACAUGCAAGUCGAACGGCAGCACAGUAAGAGCUUGCUCUUACGGGUGGCGAGUGGCGGACGGGUGAGGAAUACAUCGGAAUCUACUUUUUCGUGGGGGAUAACGUAGGGAAACUUACGCUAAUACCUCAUACGACCUACGGGUGAAAGCAGGGGAUCUUCGGACCUUGCGCGAAUGAAUGAGCCGAUGUCGGAUUAGCUAGUUGGCGGGGUAAAGGCCCACCAAGGCGACGAUCCGUAGCUGGUCUGAGAGGAUGAUCAGCCACACUGGAACUGAGACACGGUCCAGACUCCUACGGGAGGCAGCAGUGGGGAAUAUUGGACAAUGGGCGCAAGCCUGAUCCAGCCAUACCGCGUGGGUGAAGAAGGCCUUCGGGUUGUAAAGCCCUUUUGUUGGGAAAGAAAAGCAGCAGGUUAAUACCCCGCUGUUCUGACGGUACCCAAAGAAUAAGCACCGGCUAACUUCGUG
rnacentral:rRNA from 1 species